GGGGGUAUAGCUUAAGGGCAGAGCAUUUGACUGCAGAUCAUGAGGUCCAUGGUUCAAAUCCAGGUGCUCCCU
rnacentral:tRNA from 1 species